rnacentral:rRNA from 1 species
GACGAACGCUGGCGGCGUGCUUAACACAUGCAAGUCGAACGGAAAGGCCCUGCUUUUGUGGGGUGCUCGAGUGGCGAACGGGUGAGUAACACGUGAGUAACCUGCCCUUGACUUUGGGAUAACUUCAGGAAACUGGGGCUCAUACCGGAUAGGAGCUCCUGCUGCAUGGUGUGGGUUGGUAAGUUUCGGCGGUUGGGGAUGGACUCGCGGCUUAUCAGCUUGUUGGUGGGGUAGUGGCUUACCAAGGCUUUGACGGGUAGCCGGCCUGAGAGGGUGACCGGCCACAUGGGGACUGAGAUACGGCCCAGACUCCUACGGGAGGCAGCAGUGGGGAAUAUUGCACAAUGGGCGGAAGCCUGAUGCAGCAACGCCGCGUGCGGGAUGACGGCCUUCGGGGUGUAAACCGCUUUCGCCGGUGACGAAGCGUGAGUGACGGUAAUGGGUAAAGAAGCACCGGCUAACUACGUG